AAAACAUUUGAAAAUCAUUUUGAAUGUUGAGGACACUUGAGCGUAUCUUGUCCAUGUAUCCCCUGGGAGCAUCUGUUAUUCCGUUUUGCAGGUCGUCAACUGUGAGCAUUCUCCAGCAGUUAUUUCCCAGAAAGAAGCUUUUCUCCUAGCUAUGGAUUGGUUAGGUCGUCCCCAGCGGAGCAGUUAUUUCCCAGAGCAGAGUUCAUCCUACUUGUGGAUUGAUUGGGAUAUUCCCAGCAAAGUUGCCGGUUUU
rnacentral:lncRNA from 1 species